rnacentral:lncRNA from 1 species
UUUGAUUGAAUUAAGGAGUACAAAAGUUUUGUAACCAUUUUUUCUCGACGGAUACUUGCUUGGCUUCCCUCACACUACUACUUCCAAUAUUGUGUAUAAGCUCAGAUGGACUUUCAUAUUAAUUUUUUAUUUUAGAAGAAUAUUCAUGUGUACAACGGUAGAUAUCAUAUUCGUAGCUAACAACUGAACAUUAAAUCUUUGGCAGAUAGCAUUUAUGUAGAUUGGUAGACAAUCAAAGAGGUAUUGCGUUAGCAUGCGCAUGUGAGAAAUUCAUUUGCUG